GUAGGUGGCAAGCGUUGUCCGGAAUUAUUGGGCGUAAAGCGCGCGCAGGCGGUUCUUUAAGUCUGAUGUGAAAGCCCACGGCUCAACCGUGGAGGGUCAUUGGAAACUGGAGAACUUGAGUACAGAAGAGGAAAGCGGAAUUCCACGUGUAGCGGUGAAAUGCGUAGAGAUGUGGAGGAACACCAGUGGCGAAGGCGGCUUUCUGGUCUGUAACUGACGCUGAGGCGCGAAAGCGUGGGGAGCAAACAGGGAUUAGAUACCCUGGUAGUCCACGCCGUAAACGAUGAGUGCUAAGUGUUAGGGGGUUUCCGCCCCCUUAGUGCUGCAGCUAACGCAUCAAGCACUCCGCCUGGGAGUACGGCCGCAAGGCUG
rnacentral:rRNA from 1 species